AGGCACUGAGUUCAAGCUCCAGAACUGGCAAAAAUAAAAAGCAAAAAGAUGGAUAAAUGCCAACCAAGUGACCUGUCACUCUGAAGGAACUGGUCACCAAUGUGGUAUGAUAUUUUUUUUAAUCAUCAAAUCCUUCCAAUGACUCACAGUUACCGGAAACUCCAAA